GGAAGGUGAAAAACCAGAACAUGUCGGAUUUGUAUGAAGAGGUGAAGAAACUGAAGGAUAAAUUGCUCUCCUUCAAGAUCAGCCAUGCCCUGAGGGGAACGAAACUCCAAGGCAGAUGCUCAAGCAAACUUGGAAAUCACUCUUGCUGAUGGUCAGGUCCAGGAGGAGUCCGCGAAGUAGUUUUGACGCUGAUGCAGACGACCUAUUUUUUGAAGAGUAGGCCCUGAUGAGUUGAGGAUGUUAUGGCUUCCAGCUCUGUGUUACAGUGACCAGAGUGGCUUUCUGGUUUCAACACUGCCAUUUGUUGGGUGUAAGUUUACAACGUAAAGCAUUUCGACCACAAAACUGAAGCUUCUGUUUACGUGCAACUUUGGAGACCGAUUAUUUCUGAAAUUCGACCCUUGGAUGAAAUAAGACGGGAUACAAGGGAGAUUCAGUUUGACAAACCACACCCGAAAGAAAGAAGACGCGCAU